GAUGAACGCUAGCUACAGGCUUAACACAUGCAAGUCGAGGGGCAGCAUUUCAGUUUGCUUGCAAACUGGAGAUGGCGACCGGCGCACGGGUGAGUAACACGUAUCCAACCUGCCGAUAACUCGGGGAUAGCCUUUCGAAAGAAAGAUUAAUACCCGAUGGUAUAAUUAGACCGCAUGGUCUUGUUAUUAAAGAAUUUCGGUUAUCGAUGGGGAUGCGUUCCAUUAGGCAGUUGGUGAGGUAACGGCUCACCAAACCUUCGAUGGAUAGGGGUUCUGAGAGGAAGGUCCCCCACAUUGGAACUGAGACACGGUCCAAACUCCUACGGGAGGCAGCAGUGAGGAAUAUUGGUCAAUGGGCGCAGGCCUGAACCAGCCAAGUAGCGUGAAGGAUGACUGCCCUANGGGUUGUAAACUUCUUUUAUAUGGGAAUAAAGUUUCCACGUGUGGAAUUUUGUAUGUACCAUAUGAAUAAGGAUCGGCUUAACUCCGUG
rnacentral:rRNA from 1 species